rnacentral:rRNA from 1 species
UCAGUAACGGCGAGUGAAGCGGCAAGAGCUCAAAUUUGAAAUCUGGCACUUUCAGUGUCCGAGUUGUAAUUUGAAGGCUGGUCUCUGGCGAGGCGCCCCGUCUAUGUUCCUUGGAACAGGACGUCGCAGAGGGUGAGAAUCCCGUGUGAUGGGNGCGCCGAGCUGUGUAGAGGCCUGCCGACGAGUCGAGUUGUUUGGGAAUGCAGCUCUAAGUGGGUGGUAUACUCCAUCUAAAGCUAAAUACUGGCGAGAGACCGAUAGCGAACAAGUACAGUGAUGGAAAGAUGAAAAGAACUUUGAAAAGAGAGUGAAAAAGUACGUGAAAUUGUUGAAAGGGAAGGUUAUUGGAUCAGACUUGGCGGGUGUGGAUUCCCUUUCCCUUGUGGAGAGGAUUAC